UUUUUUUUUUUUUUUACUUGAAAGGCUAAAUAUAAGCUUGACUAAAGGUCAGUAAAUUAAUGUUUGAAAGUUAAGGUCACGGGCCUACUGUUCUCAACCUUGAAUUGGGUAUACUUAAUAUAUCUGGAGUGUCUCUGGAAACCAUGAAUAAACCAUUUAUUUUCAUCAGCCAAGGUUAACUGUUUAUCUCUCAACCUUUGUGGAUGGAAAGAAAUGAAUGUGUUGAGAACCCAUGGUAUGCUUUGCAUGGUAUCUGUAAAUUUCUUUUAGUUCUCAAAACAGCCUGUUGAAACAGGUAUCCUGAUUUCCAGAUAAGGCAUACUGCUUGCCUUAAAUCACCCAGCCACUAACUGAGGGAAACCAGGACGCAAAGCAGGACCAGUUCCAAAGUCCUGCUCCCUUCUGUUCUCCGAGAAAGUUCAGUUACUGAUCAUACCUUGAGUCCCAGUAAGGUGACUUCACAGAAAUGAGUGGUAUCUGUUUGAUCACAGUGCAGACAAGCUCAGGCCACAGGGCACUUACUCUUAAAGGGAAUAUGGGUGGAUCCGAUCUCCACAUACCUAUUGGAAUGGAAAGAAAUGCUUUUAAAGACUAAAAGCACCAAAGAAAAUGACUUGAUAUUUUUGUGAGUGCUACAAAAGUUAAAAGGCACUUCAGGGCAGUUUUUAGAGUGGCAGAAAAAAAACUGGUGCAGGUAUUUGCUGACACUUCAGAAGUGAAAAACCAUUUCAAAAUGGGAACUUGGUGUAAACUUUCUCACCUAGAGGUAAUAAACCUCAUAGGAACUGUGGGGGGGGGGUGUGGGGAAAGGGCUCCACACAUCUUUCCUUUCUGAGUUUCAUUGGGCAGUAGCCCUUAAAGUCUGUCUGGAAAAGAUUAUAAAUGCAAUGGUGGGGUUCAGUUGGUUUCUGCGGUCCCCUAACGGCCCUGACAGGCCUCCGGCUACAAAUGCUGGGCAGUGUUGCAUGAUUCUCCCUGCUGUGGUCCCCCUCCUACGGGACUUCUCAGUCCUAAAGAGGGGAGGAGCACCCGAUUCACCUCACAUUUGGCAACGGGGAUAAGGAUGCUUGCCUGACUUACAGCAUGUCUUUCAAUAGUUAAGAGAAUUCAAAUUCUUUCAUGAUUCAAUGACAAAGACCUGAAAAAGCAAAUGUUUCUUUUUUUUUUUUAUUGGAGUCUCCUUUUAGGUAAGAACUUUCUUCUAAAAAAUGACACUUGACAUGUAAAUUGAAGCAUGGCCUCUCCCCUAAAUCCUGCUGGUUGCCUGCAGUGCUUACUACAUAGACGCUGGUCUUGGAAUAAGCAGAACCGUUUUCACUUUUGACUUAGAAAAUGUGAACUCACAUGUUCAAAGGGGAAAAGGUAGUGGCCCUCAGGGACCACUGUAUUUCCAAAGCACAAGAACCUCUUGAUUAAAAGAUCAGAUUUGUAAAACAAAACCAGGACUUCAUGCAGCUUCUGACAAACGUCUCUUGCCAGUCCCCUGAAAGGGAGGGCCCCUGGCCUCUGCUGGUGGCUGCCCUGCUGCCGAGGGGGAGGAUAUAUGGGAAGUCACCCAGUGGUCCUCUCCCUGUUGCCCUUCUCUGCAGCUCACCUCAUUCCCUUUUCAGGUCAUUCUAUCCCUUUAGUAGAGGGCAAGACCUAAAUUUUGUGCCCCUCCGAGCCCCUGUGGAUGGAAGGGUGAAACUAUUUAUUUUUUAUUUUUUAAAGAUUUUACGUAUUUAUUCAUGAGAAAGAGAGAGAGAGAGAGGCAGAGACACAGGCAGAGGGAGAAGCAGGUUCCAUGAAGGGAGCCCGAUGUGGGACUCGAUCCCGGAACUCCGGGAUCACGCCCUGGGCCGAAGGCAGGCACUACACCGCUGAGCCACCCAGGCGUCCCUAUUUUAUUUUUUUAAAGAUUCUGUUUAUUUAUUCAUGAGAGACACAGGCAGAAGGAGAAGCAGGUUCCAUGCAGGGAGCCCAAUGUCGGACUGGAUCCCGGGACUCCAGGAUCAUGCCUGGGGCCGAAGGCAGGCGCCAAACCACUGAGCCACCUGGGGAUCCCCAAGGGUGAAACUUUAUGAUGAACUAAUUCAGAGUACAGGAUUCUACACUGGAAAGCUAUGUUCAAACGCAGUUCUUUGCUUAGUCUACGUCUCUCAUUUUUGUUCAAACAUAGCAAGUUAAAAUAUUUUGCAAAGUGAAUGGUAUCAAACAGAUAAGACAUUCAUAUUUGGAUCAUUGCCAACCAUUAAUCAUUGAGAACUUAGCAAAGGUAAGUGCACAGCUAGAAUAAGAACGUGUACUCUUAGGUCUUGGAUAGAAAAUGAAUUAUUUCUAGAUGGUGAGUAAAUUUAAAUGUCCACAAAUGAUCAGUUUCAGUCUUUUCCUCUUUUCCAGGGAUUGCUCUGAUUUUGCCUGGUGGAGUUGCCUGUGCCAACCCAGCACACUUGGUACUAUGUAAAGUCGAGUCUUCCAGGUGCAAGUAAGCUUGAGAUCUUAACUGUGCAGCCCUAGCGUGGGCUCUGCUAAACAUCCCUGCAAAUAAAACAAAUAGAAGUGGGAAUUCCUAUUCUUGCUGUUUGUUAACCCAGAAAAGCUCAUAUUAUUUUCUUAAAAAAGGAAGACAGGUUUUUAUUCUCUCAUUCCUCUUCAACUUUUACUUGUUUAAAAGACAAAUGCCACAUAUACUUGUAAGUUUGCUUUUAUUUGUGAUGGUGGAAAUAGUGUCAGUUACAAAGAAAGAAGAAUGAGGUCCUUCUGCAGCAGCAAAGAAGCCUGUGAGACAGUGUUAGGGACAUGAACACAAUCUGCUGGAAGAAUUUAGGCAUGACUUAGUGUUCAGUUUCUGUCUCAAGAUGCCUGUUUUCACAAAUCUCAUUGAUACCAUACAUUUAAUUUUAUAAAUGGGGAAAGAGGCUUGACAAGCUGGAAAGGUUUUGCCUGGGUGAUGUGAGGAGCGCAUAUCAGAACAAUGACUGCUUCAGAGUUUAAUGACCACAUCAGAAGGUGACAAACAUGCAGGUAGUUCUUUGAUCUUUCCCUGAGACACUGCAAAAUACCACCCUGAUCCCUUGGCUUCAGAAAGGUGCUAAUAAACCAGAGCCUAUCUUCACUGGGAAUAGGAAAAACACCCCAAGAGCUGAAAGUUACUAUUUAAUAUGCAUUACAUUAUGCAAACUUUAGAUACGUUUUGCAAACAUUCUGUAUAGGCUUAUCCAAGAAGCCAAAAAACUAGUGCAAUUUGGUGAAUGGGCUACAGGGUACUGAAGUAGCUAGCAGUGUCAAACCUGUCACCUGUUGUCCUCCGGGGACUUGAGCCAGUUUCUAAAGCACUGCUUUGUCACAAAUAGUGAUGCAAAGUACGAGUGUUGUAAGUCUGUGCUUGCAGUAGUCUCAAACCUAAGGACUUUUGCGUGUUCAGCGCACCACAAAUGUCUGCUGCACAAUCCUUGUAAAGUAGAAUCGGGUUGCCCCAUCACCAGCUAUUCUUCUUCAUUCAAAAGUAAAAAGGCUUGACUUAACAGAUGCCUUAGUUACAAAUCCAUUUUGUCCAGAAAGACUACACAGGUCUAAUUUGUUAAUAUCAGGCAUGCUGUUCAUGUUGAUUACUCCUCAAUUUAAGUAAUCAACAAUCCAGAAGCAUGGGGCUCAGCAUACAGCUCUCUGUUCAAUAAUUACUCCUGCUAUCAUGGAUUGGAGUCACUGGAAUCCGACUGUGGGAAAAUUGUUCUUUGAGACCAGAUUAACUUUUAAUAAAUAGCACAAGAUAACUCAA
rnacentral:lncRNA from 1 species